rnacentral:rRNA from 1 species
GACGAACGCUGGCGGCGUGCCUAAUACAUGCAAGUAGAACGCUGAAGGAGGAGCUUGCUUCUCCGGAUGAGUUGCGAACGGGUGAGUAACGCGUAGGUAACCUGCCUGGUAGCGGGGGAUAACUAUUGGAAACGAUAGCUAAUACCGCAUAAGAGUAGAUGUUGCAUGACAUUUGCUUAAAAGGUGCAAUUGCAUCACUACCAGAUGGACCUGCGUUGUAUUAGCUAGUUGGUGGGGUAACGGCUCACCAAGGCGACGAUACAUAGCCGACCUGAGAGGGUGAUCGGCCACACUGGGACUGAGACACGGCCCAGACUCCUACGGGAGGCAGCAGUAGGGAAUCUUCGGCAAUGGACGGAAGUCUGACCGAGCAACGCCGCGUGAGUGAAGAAGGUUUUCGGAUCGUAAAGCUCUGUUGUAAGAGAAGAACGAGUGUGAGAGUGGAAAGUUCACACUGUGACGGUAUCUUACCAGAAAGGGACGGCUAACUACGUGCCAGCAGCCGCGGUAAUACGUAGGUCCCGAGCGUUGUCCGGAUUUAUUGGGCGUAAAGCGAGCGCAGGCGGUUAGAUAAGUCUGAAGUUAAAGGCUGUGGCUUAACCAUAGUACGCUUUGGAAACUGUUUAACUUGAGUGCAAGAGGGGAGAGUGGAAUUCCAUGUGUAGCGGUGAAAUGCGUAGAUAUAUGGGAGGGAACACCGGUGGCGAAAGCGGCUCUCUGGCUUGUAAACUGACGCUGAGGCUCGAAAGCGCGGGGAGCAACACGA